GACGAACGCUGGCGACGUGCUUAACACAUGCAAGUCGAACGGAAAGGCCCUGCUUUUGUGGGGUGCUCGAGUGGCGAACGGGUGAGUAACACGUGAGUAACCUGCCCUUGACUUUGGGAUAACUUCAGGAAACUGGGGCUAAUACCGGAUAGGAGCUCCUGCUGCAUGGUGGGGGUUGGAAAGUUUCGGCGGUUGGGGAUGGACUCGCGGCUUAUCAGCUUGUUGGUGGGGUAGUGGCUUACCAAGGCUUUGACGGGUAGCCGGCCUGAGAGGGUGACCGGCCACAUUGGGACUGAGCUACGGCCCAGACUCCUACGGGAGGCAGCAGUGGGGAAUAUUGCACAAUGGGCGGAAGCCUGAUGCAGCAACGCCGCGUGCGGGAUGACGGCCUUCGGGUUGUAAACCGCUUUCGCCUGUGACGAAGCGUGAGUGACGGUAAUGGGUAAAGAAGCACCGGCUAACUACGUG
rnacentral:rRNA from 1 species